rnacentral:RNase_P_RNA from 1 species
AGAGUGGGUUGGAUCGUCGCUGGUAGCAGGCAGCUGCUGCGGGAGGAAAGUCCGGGCUCCAUUGGGCAGGGUGCCGGGUAACGCCCGGCGAGGGUGACCUCAGGGACAGUGCCACAGAAAACAAACCGCCAGACGGAACAUCUCCAAGUAACAAUGGGAUGUUUGAUGGUAAGGGUGAAACGGUGUGGUAAGAGCACACCGCGCGGGCGGUAACGGCCGUGGCAGGGAAAACCCCACCUGGAGCAAGAUCGAAUAGGAGGACGGUUACGGCGGCCCGUCGAGUCCUCGGGUUGAUCGCUUGAGGUAGUCGGUGACGGCUAUCCUAGAUGAAUGACGGUUGCCCGUUGUUGCCGUGCGCAGGCCUGGAAACAACGGAAACAGAACCCGGCUUAUAGACCCACUCUGAAU